GACGUAGGGGGCAAGCGUUGUCCGGAUUUAUUGGGCGUAAAGAGCUCGUAGGCGGUUUGUUGCGUCGGCUGUGAAAUCCCGAGGCUCAACCUCGGGUCUGCAGUCGAUACGAGCAAACUAGAGUGUUGCAGGGGAGACUGGAAUUCCUGGUGUAGCGGUGAAAUGCGCAGAUAUCAGGAGGAACACCGGUGGCGAAGGCGGGUCUCUGGGCAACAACUGACGCUGAGGAGCGAAAGCGUGGGGAGCGAACAGG
rnacentral:rRNA from 1 species